rnacentral:rRNA from 1 species
AUUGAACGCUGGCGGCAUGCCUUACACAUGCAAGUCGAACGGUAACAGGUCUUCGGAUGCUGACGAGUGGCGCACGGGUGCGUAAUACUUCGAAACGGGCCCGAUCGUGGGGGAAAAGGGGUCAAAACCUUUGCUAAUACCCAAUACGAGCUACGAUGGAAAGCGGGGUAUCUUCGGACUUCGCGCGGCCGUGGCGGCCAAUGGCAGAUUAGGUCGUGGGGGGGUUAAAAGCUUACAAAGCCGACGAUCUGUAGCUGUUCUGAGAGGAUGAUCCGCCAAACUGGGACUGAGACACGGCCCAGACUCCUACGGGAGGCAGCGGUGGGGAAUUUUGGCCAAUGGGCGAAAGCCUGAUCCAGCCAUGCCGCGUGCAGGAUGAAGGCCUUCGGGUUGUAAACUGCUUUUGUACGGAACGAAAAGCCUCUUUCUAAUAAAGAGGGGUCAUGACGGUACCGUAAGAAUAAGCACCGGCUAACUACGU